GUCUACGGCCAUGCCACCCUGAACAUGCCUGAUCUUGUCUGAUCUUGGAAGCUAAGCGAGGUUGGGCCUGGUUAGUGCUUGGAUGGGAGACCACUUAGGAAGACCAGGUGCUGCAGGCG
rnacentral:rRNA from 1 species